CGCUUGAACCCAGGAGCGAGGUUGCAGUGAGCUGAGAUCAUACCAUUGCACUCCAACCUGGGCAACAAGAGCAAACCCCGUCUCAAAAAGGAAAAAUAAAAUAAAAUAAAAGACUCUCGAUUUUCUAGUUUCCUGCUCUAUGAUUAGCUCCAGAAAGCUGGGCUCCUGGGGCUAACUGAUGCCACCUGGAAUGGGUGCCCUUCCACUGCGGUGGCCUGCCCUCAAUGUGGACUAAAGGCAGUGCCUCCUCCAUGCUAAAGCAGAUGCUGGCCCAAGCAACAGCCCUGUGCCUGUCAAAAUAUAAGCUGAGUAUGGCAUAUGAGACUAGAGAGGGAUCACAGAACCUUAGACAUUUCCAAGAAAAAUGGAUAAUAUAAGGCUAGGUCUUGGACGGUCUGCAUCUUAUUAAUCCCUCUUUUCCACAAUGGUGGGCGGGCUGCCGGGGAUGUGGGCUGCAGAUGGGAAGCACACUUUCCUGGGGUUUUGUUCCAUUCUCCAGGCUCCUCCUAGGCACCAGAAGUAUUCAUUUCCUGGCAUGAGCAGGGCUUUGGAGCACUGGUGUCCAAUUUGUUCCUUGGACAGCUUGGAUGGCUGGAUGGGCCCUGGAAUAUUUGAAAGUGCCAAUGGACACCCACUGUUAGGAUAAGCUAUGCCUGACCAGCCUCCCAGGCCUAUCUCUUCACCUCUGGAUCACCAGCGUAGCCCCCAGCUGAGCUCUCCUACCUCAAUUCUCCUGCCUCCAACUCACCCCAAACAAGGUGGCUGGAUUCUUCAUCUUAAAUCACCAUUUAAAGUGGUGAGCUCUGCCUCAAAAGUCAGGAAACCUUCCUCUUUGUUUCCAAGAGAGUAUUUGAAUACUUUCAUCUCAGACAGGCCCCACCCCCAAGAGCCUUCAACACUCUCCUCAUGCUUCCCUCAAAUCUUUGCCAAACUUUUCCCACAGCCUGGAAUACUUCUUUGCCUCAACCACCUGCCCCUACCUGUCAUUUACCUGCCCUAUCCAGACAUUCCAGCUCUCAAGGAAUUUUUCAACAGAUUGUUUAUAUCAUCCAGUAUUUGCACUACUUCUUGGGUAACUAAUUGUGUCCUAUUUUGUAUUUUUCUUUUUAGUAUACUUGUAUACACUUAUGCUGAUGAGACCAUGAAUUUCUCUCUCUUUUGUAUCUCCAAGAGGGAUGACCACAUAAUUUUGAUACACAUUCAAAUUACAUCAUAA
rnacentral:lncRNA from 10 species